UGCAGUUUGUGUGGUGAAGGUGCUCUCACAGUGUGGUUGGAUUCCACCAUCUGCCAAGAUGGGAUUCGAACCAGGACUUCAGUCAUUUGUUUUAAUAAUCUGGAUAAAAGCUACAUCAGGAUAUUACAGGUGGACAUUCAGAUGGUAAUCUCAGUAAAUGUUCUGCUAAACUCUGAUUGAAUUACUCAGUAUAUCAGGACCUGUGUG